rnacentral:tRNA from 1 species
GGGGAUUUGGCUCAGAGGUAGAGUGCUUGCCUAGCAAGCACAAGGCCCUGGGUUCGGUCCCCAGCUCCG